rnacentral:rRNA from 1 species
CCUACGGGUGGCUGCAGUGGGGGAUAUUGCACAAUGGGGGGAACCCUGAUGCAGCGACGCCGCGUGUGGGAAGACGGUCCUCUGGAUUGUAAACCACUGUCCCAAGGGACGAAAAUGACGGUACCUGGGGAGGAAGCUCCGGCAAACUACGUGCCAGCAGCCGCGGUAAUACGCAGGGAGCGAGGGUUGUCCGGAAUUACUGGGGGAAAAGGGAGCGUAGGGGGGGAUGCAAGGUGGGUGUCAAAACUACCGGCUCAACUGGUAGUCGCACUCAAAACUGCAGCUCUUGAGUGAAGUAGAGGCGGGCGGAAUUCCUAGUGUAGCGGUGAAAUGCGUAGAUAUUACGAAGAACACCAAUGGCGAAGGCAGCCUACUGGGCUUUUACUGACGCUGAGGCUCGAAAGUGUGGGGAGCAAACAGGAUUAGAUACCCUUGUAGUC